GCAAUUACUUGCACACAACUAAUUGGUGAAUCAUCGAUUUUUUGCUUUUGUCGUAAUUAGUGAAUCAUCGUUUACAUUCCGCCUUUCAAAACCUGUAUCAUCGUGGUAAAUUCACACAUAUAAAAUAGGCAUCAACGUACGGCCUAUAUAUGGAGUAUUUUUCUUGGCACUAUAUUCCAAGCGGCGUCGUGUUUGAAGUGGAAUUAUACUUUGAGGUUAGAACAAGUCGGCCAUCGUUUUAUCACUAGCCGAUGUUUGAAGCGCAAAAGUUCUGCUAAUACAUACAAAGGGAACGGUCACGAAACAACACCAACAUUGGAAGUAUCGUAAAUGGAGUAUGAUUGUCAUACUAUUGGAUAGUUUAACUACGUGGGGAAUCAUAUAUACAGACAAAAGAAAUCGAAACUAUGCUUACGGACACCAUACCACAUGUUGGUUGAAAAAAAUAGCAUAUGUGAAGUUCACACUGAUUAAGAAACCAACCAUAAGAUGAUGGAAGAGGACUCGUCGAGGAUAGACAGUGAGUGUUAUUGACAGUUAAAACUUAAAAGGCAUGGGCUGGGGCCACAUGUGACCCAAUAAGGAAGUAGAUGAUGUCAUAGUCUACGUCAGAUGCCGUCACCAAAUUUAUGCGGCUCCUUUUGCUUUGAAGUCAACCUUCUUAAGAACAGUUCUUUGCUAGAUUUAUAAUUUAAUUGAGCCCCUAAUUUUAUUCCAUAACUUGCGGUCCACAUUAUAUUAUUGUAUUGUCAAUUUUGUUAUGUGAUAAGUGAUUCUUAUCCAGUUUCCGUUAUUUAUUAUUCAUGCGAUAUAAGUAAUACAAUAAUACCAUAGGUUGAUUCUAGAAUUUGUUUUGGAAGUCGAU